rnacentral:rRNA from 1 species
UACGAAGGGGGCUAGCGUUGUUCGGAUUUACUGGGCGUAAAGCGCACGUAGGCGGUCUUUUAAGUCGGGGGUGAAAUCCUGGAGCUCAACUCCAGAACUGCCUUCGAUACUGGAAGACUUGAGUCCGGGAGAGGUGAGUGGAACUGCGAGUGUAGAGGUGAAAUUCGUAGAUAUUCGCAAGAACACCAGUGGCGAAGGCGGCUCACUGGCCCGAUACUGACGCUGAGGUGCGAAAGCGUGGGGAGCAAACAGG